GCUUGGCUGGCUCAGUUGGUAGAGCGUGUGACUCUUGAUCUCAGGGUUGUGAGUUCAAGCCCCAUGUUUGGCC
rnacentral:tRNA from 1 species